rnacentral:tRNA from 1 species
AUCAAAUUAGAGCUUGGUAGAAAGCAUUUCAUUUACAUUGAGAAUUUAACUGUGCAACUCGGUUUGAUUUGAU